rnacentral:tRNA from 1 species
GGAGAGAUGGCUCAGUGGUUAAGAGUACUGGCUAGCCUUCCAGAGGGUCUGGGUUUGAUUCCCAGUACUCCCA